CCGGAAGUGCCUGUCGCUUGGAGACGGAGUGACUCCAAACGGGCUCACACGGUUUUCUGAGAAACAUAAAGGGAAACCGAAUCCACCAAUAUAUAUAUAUAUUUUCUUGAGACGGCGUCUCGCUCUGUCACCCAGGCUGGAGUGCAGUGGCGUGAUCUCGGCUCACUGCAAACUCCGCCUCCCGGGUUGACGCCAUUCUUCUGCCUCAGCCUCCCGAGUAGCUGGGACUACAGGCGCCCGCCGCCACGCCCGGCUAAUUUUUUUGUAUUUUAGUAGAGACGGGGAGUCACCGUGUUGCCCAGGCUGGUCGCGAACUCCUGAGCUCAGGCAAUCCGCCCGCCUUGGCCUCCCAAAGUGCUAGGAUUACAGGCGUGAGCCACCGCGCCCGGCCCACCAAUACUCAAUUGGUUUGACUUCAGUUGAGGAAACCAGAAAAAAUUUAAAUAUAUUUAUGGAAAGAAGCUAUUGGGAGAGUGGCUGAGUACUGAGUCUAUCACUACUUGGAUGAUACAGCUUCUGUCUUCAAGAUAAGCAGAAUUGUUCAGAAUCCACUGGAAUCCAAAUUCAACUUGGGCCUCAAUUUCUGCAGAUGGACACCUCUGGACUCCAAAAAAUCCAAGGACAUAAAAAACUUAAGCAGCCUUUAUUACAUUUAGUUCAACAAGUUUAAAGUGUAGGUCACUUUCCACUUUUGUUUACUUGAUGCUUAAUUUUACUGGAAUCGUUAAAAGAAAUAUACUUGCAAUUUUUUUAAAAAGGUAUCUAUUUCUGAGGCCAGUCUUGGUGUCUAGAGUUUUCAAGGUAGUAUUAAUGACAGCACGUAGAACCUCAAAGCUCAUUUGUCGGUGAAAAUGCUGUGCUAAGCCUGGCAGAAGUCUGCUCCCACACUCAGAAUCACCAUAAAUGUGCAACAUCACCAGAAAGUGCUGGUGUGCUGGGCACUGGGCAUUGGAGUUGGGGAUGGCUGCCCCAGCCUCUGUACACGACACCUGGCCUGGUGGAUCCAGAGUUAGUCUUGCUGCCCAGCUGCCACUCCAGCCACUCCCUAGACACAAUUUUAAAUUGUCAGAUAUACCUUUAGUAAAGCUGAAAAAACAAUUCCAGAGGAAUUAAAAGGAGGAAAAUUUUCUAUUUAUUAAAUAGCAUAAAGAUACCAAAAUUGAUGAAUGUAUGAUUUGAAAAGAAACCUCAAACUUAAGAUUAUGCAAGCAUCAAUAUUGAGAAGUUAUUAACAGAGAGAAGCUGGCAGUGCAUUGCUAAAAUAUACUAUAAGCAAAUGGAUUCUAUUCUAGAAACACAAAGUUGAUCAGAAAAUCUACUAAUAUUACCAUCGCAGUAAGUUAAGGGGAAAAUAAAAUCACUUCAAUUACAUGAAAAAAUUAAUUUUAAAAUAUAUUUUAGAUUUUAUAAAAAUAGCAAAUUUGUUUGCUACCUUAACAUGAUAAAAAAAGAAAACCAUAGGAUUUUAACCGUAAAGCCAGUGUGCUUCUUAAUGGUAGAAUAUUAGGAGGAGUUAGGAACAAGAUAUGGAUACUGACUUACAUCAGGAUUUUUAAAAAUUGGACUAAUAUUAGAAAUGCAGAAACUGCAGAUAGCGAGUUUCAGUGGUUACUGCUGACACACAUUUCUAUACAUUGGGGGGUUGUUUCUUAAGUUGUCCAUUUUUUUUUUUAUGCAUGGGAGGCAUAUGGAAAGACAGAGGUUUGCUGACUUCCGGGAAAAAGGAAAUUAAGAAACCAACUUAUUAAC
rnacentral:lncRNA from 1 species